rnacentral:sRNA from 1 species
UGGGUAGCUGCGGCGGGGCUGACCCGUCCCGAGUGCCAAAGCUGGGGUUCUGCUUGAGAUUUCCCUCGUGGUGCCAGGGUCCGGCGAGCGUCACGCCGAGGCCCAUUUUCCAGACGACCACGACGACGCCGGGGUCACGAACUCUGGCGCCCCUUACCAGCUUCCAGUCUCUCGAGGUGGCCUGUGUGGUGCUUGGUCCUUGUUUCCAGGAUGGACUUCCCCGGCUCCCUCCGCCCUGCGUUGUUUCUGACCGGCCCCCUUGGUCUGAGCGACGUCCCUGACCUCUCUUUCAUGUGCAGCUGGCAAGACGCGCUGACUCUGCCAGAGGCCCAGCCCCAGAACUCAGAGAAUGGGGCACUGCAUGUGACCAAGGACCUGCUGUGGGAGCCAGCAACCCCUGGGCCUCUCCCCAUGCUGCCUCCCCUCAUCGAUCCCUGGGACCCUGGCCUGACUGCCCGGGACCUGCUUUUCCGCGGAGGGUACCGGUAUCGGAAGCGGCCCCGAGUCGUGCUGGAUGUUACUGAGCAGGUGAGUGGGCCCACGGGGGACAGUGCUGCGUAGCCUGGAGACUGUGCUUAGUGACCUGGCCUCCUCUUCUCCCCAGAUCAGCCGGUUCCUCUUGGAUCAUGGAGACGUAGCCUUUGCGCCCCUGGGGAAGCUGAUGCUGGAGAAUUUCAAGCUGGAGGGAGUGGGGGUGUCCCUGGGCUUACCUCAGCAACCGACAGCGCCGCUUCUCUAUCCUCGGGGGCCCCAUCCUGGGCACGUCGGUGGCGAGCCACUUGGCAGAGCUGCUGCACGAGGAGCUGGUGCUGCGGUGGGAGCAGCUGCUUCUGGAUGAGGCCUGCACUGGGGGCGCGCUGGCCUGGGUUCCUGGAAGGACACCCCAGUUCGGGCAGCUGGUCUACCCUGCUGGAGGCGCCCAGGACAGGCUGCGUAUCCUUUCUUGCGAGACAGGAGAUUCCAGCGGGCUCGCCUCUGGUAGAGGAGG